rnacentral:rRNA from 1 species
UGGUGGGGGAGUAGCCGGCUAACGCCCGGGUAAUACCGCAUACGUUCCUCUGGGGGAGUCCCUGGGGGAGGGAAAGCUCCGGCGCACGGGGAGGGGUUCGCGGCCUAUCAGCUAGUUGGCGGGGUAAUGGCCCACCAAGGCGACGACGGGUAGCUGGUCUGAGAGGAUGGCCAGCCACAUUGGGACUGAGAGACGGCCCAG